rnacentral:lncRNA from 1 species
AUGUGCUGGUACAUGAGUGGAAGAAUAUCUCCCAAAUUACAGGCAGUUAACCUUUAUACUUCUAUUCUUACUGUGCAGGGCAUGCUGCAUGGUGUCCUGUGGUGCUUCCUGUGGGAUAGAGGAAUGAAGGGAAGGGGCAGAGACAAUGAGUUUAAGGCAUUCACGGAGCAGCAGUGCAGACUCUCGCAUAACAAGGGUCAAAGUAACAUCCAGUCAGGCUUUGCAUGGCAUGAGGCAGAAACAGGAUUUUCUAGCAUGGUGAGUACUUGUAGAAUCAACAGGCUGAUGAUUUCUAAUGACCAAGAAUUCAGGAGACACUGCAUCCUAAAUAUGAGCAGAAGGGGGUCAGUAAUCUGCCAAGUAAAUUCUGUUUCACCCCUACAUGUUUUAGAGAUGGCUUCAGGGAGGAAUUUAGGAAAGGCUCAUUGUGAAAUGAUUUAAUGUGAGCUCUCAUGAGGAUAGAAAGGAGCACUACCAGGCGGAAGUUCACAAAUGGAGGCUGAAGGAGCUGUUUAAAAUUAUAAUACAGGUAGGGACUUAAUGUUGAUGUUCAUGACAAGACCUUAAGGGAUCAUGUAGCAGAGGAUGUUUUUCCCUUUAGUAGUCAUUGAUUUCAAUUGUAAGCUCUUCUCUCUUUCAUUACUUUGUUAGAUGUAAACUUUUCCAGCCUCUUUGCCUUUUUUUUUUCUUCCAGAGAAGACAGACCAGAAGUGUCUCUUUUACUAGGUUUUGGCUUGCUGCUUUUCCAUGUCAUUGUCAUUCAAUGGCUCCAGGAAUAGCUAGGAAAGAUCUUGCAAGGUCACAGAGUUCCUCUAUGUUAUCUCCUUGGCCCAAGGCAUGAUAUAAAAACAUUAACAUGCUCUCAAGCACCCUGGCAGACAAUCUUAAAAGUCUCCAGGAAUAGACUCUCCUAUAUCCCUAAGCAAUUUUCAAUUAUUUUUAAUAGAAAUUUUUGCCCACCAACAUAUAAAUGAGAAACAAUAUAAAUACAUAAUCUAACACGAUCCAUAAAUUGUACAGGAGCACUCAAGUUUUGACAUGAACAACAGAGACACAGGUUUGUGAACUUGACUGCUGUAUUUAUGAAAGAAGAAAUGAUUAAAUUAUGUGUAGUUUGCUGCAAUAAUGGUUCCAGGCAUGUUCAUUGGAACCAAAGCCCUGAGA